rnacentral:lncRNA from 1 species
CUACUUCCUUUUUUUUUAUAGUAUGUUAGUCUUUUUUUUCCUAAUAUGUCACUCUAUUUUAAAAUAAAAAAUUAUGUUUAACAUAGAUAAACUUUUUCAAUAAUUUUUUUUUCAUUUAUAACAACAAACAAUAUAUAUUAAAAUUACAAUUGAACAUAAUUUUUGAAAAACAAAAACAAAAAGGUUAAAUACAAAAAGAACAAAAAACGACAAACAACACUACAAACAUACUAAAAAUACAAAAGUUAAUAAUAAUAAUCUGCGCGUAGCAAUAUAAAUUUACCAAAAUAAUGUACAAAUACACAUAGAAAAUUUUAAAUAUCUUAAAAAUAAAAAUUAAUCAAAAAGUAUAUCACAAUUAUAAGAAACUACCAAGUUACAACAAUCAAUGGUCAAACUGAAAAUAAUAAUAACUAAACACUGAGUACAUAAUUAAACAUAUAGUAAAGACUAGAGAAAACAUAUGGAUAUGAAAAAAAAAUUUAAAAACUGAAGACAAAAAUAAAUAAAAUCCUAAUAUAAUUAAAAAUUUAGAAAAAUGGUUGGAAACAUAUAAGUGCCAAAAUCUACAUUAUACAAAGAUAAACUUCUUAAUCGAGAGGGAAAAUGAAGUAAUAGGAAGGUUUACACCUACGUAGAUACACAAUAGAAAACAUGCAAUAAAAAUGAAUGUUAAAUAAAUAAAUCUUAUUGUAAGUACACAUUUGUGCGACUAAUUAUAUAGGAUGAAAAUAAUACUUUUAUAAAAUUACCUUAGCAACUGGAAGGAAAAUCAUGCUGGUGACUAAAAUUAAUCCUCAAAUAUAUAAUGAUUAAGAAACUAUAUUAAUUAAACAUAUAAAAUAUAUUUUAAAAAUUAGUGAAAAUUAUUAUAAAAAAUUAGUAGUCACUGUAACAUCAUUACUAAGAUUUUACUUUAACAGGUCUGUAAACACUGCUCGAAGUUUCAAACAAAAAUAAUAAAAAAUUAAAAUACAAAAAUAUAUAUCAUACUACUUAAGAUAUCAACGGAAAUUAAAGAUUUAGAUAAAAAAUAUUAAACUAAUUUUUCACAUUUAGUGUUUUAGUUAUGCUACUUAUUUUUCAGUUUCAUAAAUUUUAAACUUAUUAUGUAAAUAUCAAAAAUGUCAGGCAUAAAAUAAGAUAAUGAUAAGUUUACUCCAAAUUUACUAGAAAAAAUAAAGCAAAAAUAAUGAAAAUUAUUUAACCAAUAAAUUCUUAUAAAAAAUACAAACUCAAACAAUACAACUCACCUAAUAGUAAAGGGAUACUGAAAAACUUUUAUUUAAUGAUUUUGAAUUUGAAAAUUCAUUUUUUUAAAAUACCUUUCUUAUAUAUGAAAAGAUAUUUUAUCCUGAUUUAAUUUCAAACUAACACAUUUAAAACUAGAUUUAAAAUUUAAUUUACUUAUGUUUUGAAAUAAGAAUAUAUUUAAGAUAUAUACAUGUUAAUCAUUACAAAUGACAAAUAGUUAAAUUUUCCAAAAUGUUUUAAAGUACAUUUUAAUAAAAAUUACAAAAUCUAUAUAAAAAGAGAACCUACACACUUUAAAAAAAAAAAAAACUUAAUUGCCUAAGUAACAAGGGAAAUAUCCUAUUACAGACUUACACUCCUUGCAAGCAUAUUUAAUUCUAUGCUCAUACAUAUGAUCUGUGUUAUUUUCAUACACACUUCUAUCUUAAGUCAAAUAUCUUAUCAUUUUUAGUUUUUUAUACGAAGGAUCUUUUUAUUGCUUUUAUUUACUAACCUUUCAUAUUAACAAAGAAAGAUCAGACGAAAUAGAAAUACUUCAUGUUUUAUUUUC